rnacentral:SRP_RNA from 1 species
UGGGUCGCCUCGCAUCGCGAGACAAUGAACCUGGUCAGGGUCGGAAGACAGCAGCCACAGUUGUUAUAACGAGUGCCGAGGGUUUGGCUCA